CCUACGGGAGGCAGCAGUAGGGAAUCUUCCGCAAUGGGCGAAAGCCUGACGGAGCAACGCCGCGUGAGUGAUGAAGGUCUUCGGAUCGUAAAACUCUGUUAUCAGGGAAGAACAAAUGUGUAAGUAACUGUGCACAUCUUGACGGUACCUGAUCAGAAAGCCACGGCUAACUACGUGCCAGCAACCGCGGUAAUACGUAGGUGGCAAGCGUUAUCCGGAAUUAUUGGGCGUAAAGCGCGCGUAGGCGGUUUUUUAAGUCUGAUGUGAAAGCCCACGGCUCAACCGUGGAGGGUCAUUGGAAACUGGAAAACUUGAGUGCAGAAGAGGAAAGUGGAAUUCCAUGUGUAGCGGUGAAAUGCGCAGAGAUAUGGAGGAACACCAGUGGCGAAGGCGACUUCUGGUCUGUAACUGACGCUGAUGUGCGAAAGCGUGGGGAUCAAACAGGAUUAGAUACCCUGGUAGUCCACGCCGUAAACGAUGAGUGCUAAGUGUUAGGGGGUUUCCGCCCCUUAGUGCUGCAGCUAACGCAUUAAGCACUCCGCCUGGGGAGUACGACCGCAAGGUUGAAACUCAAAUGAAAUUGAGG
rnacentral:rRNA from 1 species